ACAGCCACAUCACAUUUAAAUACUGAUUUCCAUAUGAUCGCUAAAGUAAAGCAGCAUUGAGCUUGAUCAGUACUGAGAUGAGUGACUACUUGGGAAUACCAGGUGCUGUAAGC